GGCACAAAUCUGAAGUAGCGUAGUUUAGUAGGGUCAGAUGAUCCUUCUAAUCUACCCUACUUCAAAUUUGGGCUC
rfam:Haemonchus contortus, ISE/inbred ISE, WGS project CAVP01000000 data, contig: Hcontortus_28728